GGGGGGGUUAUAUGGGGUUUGGGGGGUCCUAUGGGGCUGGGGGGAGUUCUAUAGGGUUUGGGGGGCAAUACAGUGGGGUCCUAUGGGGUUUGGGGGGGUCCUAUGGGGUUUUGGGGGCUCCUAUAGGAUUUCGGGGGCAAUACAGUAGGGUCCUAUGGGGAUGAGGGGAGUCCUAUGGGGUUUGGGGGGCCAUACAGUGGGGUCCUAUGGGGUUUGGGUGGGUCCUAUGGGGCUGUGGGGGGGUCCUAUGGGGCUGUGGGGAGUCCUAUAGAGUUUGGGGGAGCAAUACAGUGGGGUCCUAUGGGGAUAGGGAGGUCCUAUGAGGUUUGGAGGAGUUAUAUGGGGUUUUGGGGGGUCCUAUGGGGCUCUGGGUUCCUAUGGGGUUGGGGGGGGGCAAUACAGUGGGGUAUUAUGGGGUCCGGGGUGGUCCUAUGGGGCUGUGGGGUCCUAUGGGGUUGGCGGGGGCAAUACAGUUGGGUCCUAUGGGGAUGGGGGGGUCUUAUGGGGUUUGGGAGUGUUAUAUGGGGUUUUGGGGGGUCCUAUGGGGCUGGGGGCGACAGCCCCCCCACAUCGAAAGUGGGGCUCUGAGCCUGGAGCCGCGUGGCCUGCAGGGCUAUG
ensembl:lncRNA